rnacentral:rRNA from 1 species
GAUGAACGCUGGCGGCGUGCCUAAUACAUGCAAGUCGAACGAGGCCCUUUGUAUUCGUACGAAGGUGUCCUAGUGGCGAACGGGUGAGUAACACGUAGGUGACCUGCCCCGAAGAGGGGAACAACCCCGGGAAACCGGGACUAAUACCCCAUAACCUCCAGGGAGUUAGAUGACCCUGGAGAAAAGGAGCAAUCCGCUUCGGGAGGGCCUGCGGCCCAUCAGCUAGUUGGUAGGGUAAUGGCCUACCAAGGCGACGACGGGUAGGGGACCUGAGAGGGUCGGCCCCCACACUGGCACUGAAACACGGGCCAGACACCUACGGGUGGCAGCAGUAGGGAAUAUUGCCCAAUGGACGAAAGUCUGAGGCAGCAACGCCGCGUGCGCGAUGAAGGCCUUCGGGUUGUAAAGCGCUUUUCUGGGGGAAGAGGAAGGACGGUACCCCAGGAAUAAGUCUCGGCUAACUACGUG